rnacentral:rRNA from 1 species
AGUGAACGCUGGCGGUAGGCCUAACACAUGCAAGUCGAACGGCAGCACAGUAAGAGCUUGCUCUUACGGGUGGCGAGUGGCGGACGGGUGAGGAAUACAUCGGAAUCUACUUUUUCGUGGGGGAUAACGUAGGGAAACUUACGCUAAUACCGCAUACGACCUACGGGUGAAAGCAGGGGAUCUUCGGACCUUGCGCGAUUGAAUGAGCCGAUGUCGGAUUAGCUAGUUGGCGGGGUAAAGGCCCACCAAGGCGACGAUCCGUAGCUGGUCUGAGAGGAUGAUCGGCCACACUGGAACUGAGACACGGUCCAGACUCCUACGGGAGGCAGCAGUGGCGAAUAUUGGACAAUGGUCGCAAGCCUGAUCCAGCCAUACCGCGUGGGUGAUGAAGGCCUUCGGGUUGUAAAGCCCUUUUGUUGGGAAAGAAAAGCAGCAGGUUAAUACCCCGCUGUUCUGACGGUACCCAAAGAAUAAGCACCGGCUAACUUCGUG